rnacentral:misc_RNA from 1 species
AAGUCGUAACAAGGUUUCCGUAGGUGAACCUGCGGAAGGAUCAUUACCGAAGUCCGGGCCCUCUCCAGGGCUCAACUUCCACCCUCUGUCUACCACCCUCUGUUGCUUUGGCGAGACGCCAUUGGCCACCGGCUUCGGCUGGUGCGUGCUCGCCAGAGACCCCCAAACCCAACCCAUUUUUAGUGUCGUCUGAUACCAAGUUUAAUAAUUAAAACUUUCAACAACGGAUCUCUUGGCUCUG